CGCAGCAGCAGCACCAAGGUGCCUUCUGGGAAGGCAGGAAGGCUGAGGGAGACAGGAGGAGACUGGGGCCAAGUUCCACAUUUAAAGGGAAUCAUAGGACUAUGCCAGGCAAGGCAUAUUGACCUUAAAGCAUUGGAAUUCUACCUCUAGUGCAGGGAACAGACCUCCUGUGGACCUUCGGUGAUCAUGCAAGAGUAAGCCAGGUUAGACUGGAACGAGCACUGAACUAGCAACUCUGCAUCAUGGAUAUGUGUUAAACCCAUCCUCACUGCCCACAAGGUGAGGUGAGUGUGAGACAAUAUAUUUUUUUUUAUGUU
rnacentral:lncRNA from 1 species